UACGAAGGGGGCUAGCGUUGCUCGGAAUCACUGGGCGUAAAGCGCACGUAGGCGGACGUGUCAGUCAGGGGUGAAAUCCCGGAGCUCAACUUCGGAACUGCCUUUGAUACAGCACGUCUUGAGUCCGGAAGAGGUGGGUGGAAUUCCUAGUGUAGAGGUGAAAUUCGUAGAUAUUAGGAAGAACACCGGUGGCGAAGGCGGCUCACUGGCCCGAUACUGACGCUGAGGUGCGAAAGCGUGGGGAGCAAACAGG
rnacentral:rRNA from 1 species